rnacentral:rRNA from 1 species
GGAAGGCCCUUCGGGGUACUCGAGUGGCGAACGGGUGAGUAACACGUGGGUGAUCUGCCCUGCACUUCGGGAUAAGCCUGGGAAACUGGGUCUAAUACCGGAUAUGACCUUGGGAUGCAUGUCCUUUGGUGGAAAGCUUUUGCGGUGUGGGAUGGGCCCGCGGCCUAUCAGCUUGUUGGUGGGGUUAAGGCCUACCAAGGCGACGANCGGGUAGCCGGCCUGAGAGGGUGACCGGCCCACACUGGGACUGAGAUACGGCCCAGACUCCUACGGGAGGCAGCAGUGGGGAAUAUUGCACAAUGGGCGCAAGCCUGAUGCAGCGACGCCGCGUGAGGGACGACGGCCUUCCGGGUUGUAAACCUCUUUCAGCACAGACGAAGCGCGAGUGACGGUAUGUGCAGAAGAAGGACCGGCCAACUACGUGCCAGCAGCCGCGGUAAUACGUAGGGUCCGAGCGUUGUCCGGAAUUACUGGGCGUAAAGAGCUCGUAGGUGGUUUGUCGCGUUGUUCGUGAAAACUCACAGCUCAACUGUGGGCGUGCGGGCGAUACGGGCAGACUAGAGUACUGCAGGGGAGACUGGAAUUCCUGGUGUAGCGGUGGAAUGCGCAGAUAUCAGGAGGAACACCGGUGGCGAAGGCGGGUCUCUGGGCAGUAACUGACGCUGAGGAGCGAAAGCGUGGGGAGCGAACAGGAUUAGAUACCCUGGUAGUCCACGCCGUAAACGGUGGGUACUAGGUGUGGGUUUCCUUCCUUGGGAUCCGUGCCGUAGCUAACGCAUUAAGUACCCCGCCUGGGGAGUACGGCCGCAAGGCUAAAACUCAAAGAAAUUGACGGGGGCCCGCACAAGCGGCGGAGCAUGUGGAUUAAUUCGAUGCAACGCGAAGAACCUUACCUGGGUUUGACAUGCACAGGACGCUGGUAGAGAUAUCAGUUCCCUUGUGGCCUGUGUGCAGGUGGUGCAUGGCUGUCGUCAGCUNCGUGUCGUGAGAAUGUUNGGGUUAAGUCCCGCAACCGAGCGCAACCCCCUAUCUUAAUGUUGNCCAGCGCGUCAUGGNCGGGGAACCUCGUAAGAGNNACUGCCGGGGUCAACUCGGAGGAAGGUGGGGAUGACGUCAAGUCAUCAUGCCCCUUAUGUCCAGGGCUUCACACAUGCUACAAUGGCCGGUACAAAGGGCUGCGAUGCCGUGAGGUGGAGCGAAUCCUUUAAAGCCGGUCUCAGUUCGGAUCGGGGUCUGCAACUCGACCCCGUGAAGUCGGAGUCGCUAGUAAUCGCAGAUCAGCAACGCUGCGGUGAAUACGUUCCCGGGCCUUGUACACACCGCCCGUCACGUCAUGAAAGUCGGUAACACCCGAAGCCGGUGGCCUAA